rnacentral:rRNA from 1 species
UACAGAGGUCUCAAGCGUUGUUCGGAUUCAUUGGGCGUAAAGGGUGCGUAGGCGCCUUCUAAGUCGAACGUGAAAUCCCCGGGCUCAACCCGGGAACUGCGUCCGAUACUGGAAGGCUUGAAUCCGGGAGAGGGAUGCGGAAUUCCAGGUGUAGCGGUGGAAAUGACGUAGAUAUCUGGAGGAACACCGGUGGCGAAGGCGGCAUCCUGGACCGGCAUUGACGCUGAGGCGCGAAAGCCAGGGGAGCAAAGCGGG